rnacentral:rRNA from 1 species
GACGAACGCUGGCGGCGUGCUUAACACAUGCAAGUCGAGCGGAGCGGCGAACGGGUGAGUAACGCGAGAGUAACUGCCCCCCUCUCUGGGAUAACAGUUGGAAACGGCAGCUAAUACCGGAUAGUGGGGGAUGACUCGCGUCCAAUCAGCUUGUUGGUGGGGGAGUGGCCUACCAAGGCGACGAGGGGUAGCCGGCCUGAGGGGGCGACCGGCCCCAUUGGGCUGAGAUACGGCCCAAACUCCUACGGGAGGCAGCAGUGGGAAAUAUUGCACAAUGGGGCAAACCCUGAUGCAGCAACGCGCGUGCGUGAUGCCGGCCUUCGGGUUGUAAACCGCGUUCAGCCAUGACGCGGUAGUGGCAGAAGAAGCACCGGCUAACUACGUGCCAGCAGCCGCGGUAAUAC